AGAGUUUGAUCAUGGCUCAGAAUAAAUGCUAUUGGUAUGCUUAACACAUGCAAGUUGAAUGUUUAAAUUUUUAAACAUAGCGAACGGGUGAGUAACGCGUGAAUUAUCUACCUUUUAAUUCAGGAUAAUUAUUUUUAAUAAAAAUACUGAAUAAUUUCAAUAAAGUUUUAAUAACGUUAAAAGAUGAGUUUGCGUAAGAUUAGGUAGUUGGUAGUUUAAAAGACUACCAAGCCGACUAUCUUUAGCUGGUUUGAAAGAAUGAUCAGCCACAUUGGGACUGAGACACGGCCCAAACUUUUUUAAAGGCAGCAGUGGGGAAUUUUGGACAAUGAGCGAAAGCUUGAUCCAGCAAUACCAAGUGAGUGAAGAAGGCUAAUUAGGUUGUAAAGCUCUUUCAUUAAGGAGGAAAAUGACAGUACUUAAAAAAGAAGUUCCGGCUAAUACCCGUGCCAGCAGCCGCGGUAAUACGGGAGGAGCGAGCAUUAUUCGGAAUGAUUAGGCGUAAAGGGUUUGUAGGUGGUUUUUUAAGUUGAAAAAAACAAAUUAAAGCUCAACUUUAUAAAUUUUUUCAAAACUGAAAAACUUGAGUAUAAAUAGAGGAUAAUGGAAUUUCUAUUGGAGGGAUAAAAUAUGUUGAUAAUAGAAGGAAGAUCAAAAGCGAAGGCAAUUAUCUGGGUAUAUACUGACACUGAGAAACGAAAGCUUGGGUAGCGAACGGGAUUAGAUACCCUAGUAGUCC
rnacentral:rRNA from 1 species